CCAAUGAAAAUGCGUUUUUCAACUACACUUUGUGUGUUGUUAAAAUAAAAAUAGCUGUAACUAGUGAGUUACACUGUUAUAUAUGUAAAUCACUUAAAAUCAAUUAACUUUUUUUCGUAUGCAAAGCCCCAUUGCACAGUUUACACACCACCAUGUUGUAUGGAGACUAUGAAAAUCUGAUUUUAAAAAUGGAAGCGUUUUAAAGAAAUAACUAAUUGUUUUCACAUUCCUUCGUCGUACACGUGUUCUGAUGUAACACGCUCUCUGCAGGGGACUUGGCCUGCAUCCAAUCAUACAAUGUGUGCUGGAAAUUGUUGUCACGAAAAUCCUGCUAACGCAGCCAAGAGUUGUAGAGAAGCGGAGCGGAUCGUAAACCCUUGGCUAGCGAAGAUGAUGCUGACGAUGAAUUAUCCAACAUGUAUAUCAUUAUUCAAAGAAUUUUUACGUUUCCUGUGAUAUGGAGGGUCGUGGAGCUUUCAUAUGAUAGUAUAAGAUGCGCUUGUAUUUCUUGCAUCUGUAUAUAAAAAAAAAAAGUGAUUGAAUCGUUUUGUGUGCAGUUGAAUGUGGCGUAUCCCGGAUUCAUUUGGUGCAUGGAGUUGGAAAGUUGAUAUCCACUUGAUAAAGGGAUGAGACCAGAGCUGCUCAUCAUGCUUUGCCAACAGCUGUAAUAUUGCCAGGAAAUUACCUUUAUUUGAGGAAUCACUUGUGGUAUCAUCUCUGUGUCCUCGGAGAGGAAUAUUUUGUUUCCCACAAAGAAUGAUCGCAUCUACUAUUUUCUCAAGCAACUUUAUGUUGUGCUGAUACUGUGCCUGAUUUUGCUGAUUGAGUUUAUACGGAAGAGACGAAGAUGUCACUUCGGAUGUCAUCUUGGUUGUGUGAUAAACAGAUUUAGCACUCUUGCGGUGUUCUGAAUUUUGAUGCUUUAAAAGGGCAGAUGUUUUUCCAAGGGUUUUCUUAUACGCAGUAAAAGGUGGCGUAACAAAUGUAUUUUGAUGUUCGACAUCUGACUGAGGGAACAUGACACAAAACUUACACAUACCGCCAUUUAACAGUUUGCUGAAGGUUAACCAUGAAAACUGAUUCUUCCAAGAAGAUUGAAAUGAUAAAGUCUUUUUGAGUUCACCCGUAUUCGUUGUUUGAGCACGACCUGUUUUUAACUUGGCGACAUCGUCUGGCAAGGGUUGAUUCUGAAUAUAACUUAUCUUUUCAGCUGAG